GGAGAGGUAUCGAAGAGGUCAUAACGAGGCGGUCUUGAAAACCGUUUGUCGGCAACGGCACGUGGGUUCGAAUCCCACCCUCUCCG
rnacentral:tRNA from 1 species